ensembl:lncRNA
GACAGGAUGUGACAGUUCUGCAGUGGAAAAUGUGCUCUGUGGGUUCACUGGUCACUGCAGACAAAAGCACAAAACUGUAUUUGAAUACGUGACAUGACCUUCCUUUACGUGUUGAAUUUAGAUGACCUGUGCUGGCAUUCACACUUUGAAUAGUUGAUCUUCAUAUUCCUUUUUUAUUUUUUAUUUUUUUAUUUUUUUUUAGGCAGCAUUACUAAAAAAUGUAAAUAUGUGGACAUGAUCAAUGCAAACUGUAUUCUGUGUAAAUGACAAUGUGAUUUUUACGUCCAAUACUCUUCUAUUGUAUAAAAGUGUAUUCUCAUCUGCUGUCUUAGGCAUUGCCCUCUGUCUUCAUCUCUUCCUUUACUAGUUCAGUCUCUACAGCACGUCUGCAAGCCUUCGAGAUCCUGAGCGGAGAGUAAAACAGUUUACACUCCUUCACAGCCCUUAAACUGAGUGUCCUGUUAUGGCCAGUUUUCAGACCAGGAUUCUUCGUCUGCAUCUCUGUGUUGUUAUUAUUCUCCUGACUCAUGCAGAUUAUUCCAAAUCUAAUCAAGAGCAAAGGAUUCGGCAGCACAUCAACAAAACAGUGUUUGUGGGGGAAACAGUUACACUUCACUGCAACAAAACCCAACUUGAUGAUGAUUUCACAUGGAAAAUGAACAACUCGGUUAUUUUUAGGCAUGUCUCUGAUAUUAACAUAACUAAGACAAACUUCAUCUCCAACAGGAUUCACAUCGACCCCGCAGCUCCAAGAGAAUUAACAAUACAUCAAAUACAAGCGUCUGAUGCAGGAAACUACAGCUGCUACCCAGCAGCAAUAAGAUGGACAUUAACAAUAACAGAUAUCCAGAUCAGACCAGAAUCACUCAAACAAAUGUCGCUGAACAUCAUCAUCAUUAUCAUCUCAUGUUCUGGAGUCAUUAUGGUCUGUUUUAUCAUCACCAUCAGCAUCUGCAUUCACAGGAAACAGAAGACACAAGAUCAACUCCGGUUCAGAGGAUUUAAGUCUCUACAGCACGUCUGCAUGAUCUUGAGCAGUUUAAGCUCCUUCACAGCUCUGUUAUGGCGAAUGUUCAAACCAGGAUUCUUCAUCUGGAUCUCUCUAUCAUCAUUAUUUUCCUGAUUCAUGCAGAUUAUUCAAAAUCUAAUCAAGAGCAAAGGAUUCAGCAGCACAUCAACAAAACAGUGUUUGUGGGGGAAACAGUUACACUUCACUGCAACAAAACCCAACUUGAUGAUGAUUUCACAUGGAAAAUGAACAACUCUGUUAUUUUUAGGCAGGUCUCUUAUUUUAACAUAACUAAGACAAACUUCAGCUCAAACAGGAUUCACAUCGACCCCGCAGCUCCAAGAGAAUUAACAAUACAUCAAAUACAAGCGUCUGAUGCAGGAAACUACAGCUGUUACCCAGCAGCAAUAAGAUGGACAUUAACAAUAACAGAAAACACAACCAGACCAGAAUCACUCAAACAAAUGCCGCUGUACAUCAUCUACUCAUGUUCUGGAGUCAUUAUGAUCUGUCUGAUCAUAACCAUAUGCAUUCACAGUAAACUGAAGCAGAUGAAGACAAACUCUGAUCUCUGUGAAACAGACCAGGAGGCAGAAAGUUUAUUUACCACAGAACAGGUGAAGAUGAUCUCUGACUGUGACAAACACACAGUAACAGCCUGUGUCUACAGUCUUCAUACAGUUUCAUAAACGUCUUUUCUUCUCAAGACAGUGGUGUGUGUGUCUGACACUCAUCAGAUCAUGAACAAGAAGAUGUCUGUCAGUCUUUUUUGUGGAUAAGAGAAUGAAACUGUCCCAAGAGUAUGUCGCAGAGGAUCUUUAUAUACACAUUUUCAGAAAGAGUAAUACUUUUUACACUUUUAAAAUGUAAUAUUUAAAAAUUUAACAUGCCUAACUAGAUACUAAAUUAUUCACAACAACACCUUCAAAUACCUUCAGAGACUAUGUCCUCGAUACAUGAUAUCUGUCAUUGUGUUGGACAUCUGGAUGAAGAUCUUAUUUUUUUCCCUUUUCCUUCACCUCAUGAGUCUGACACUGAAACCUUUAAAAAAUGGUGUUUGUCACAAUAUGAAAAUAAGUAUGUACAUUCAGCAGGUCAUUAUUUCAAAAUAAACCAUAACUGUACUAAUGGACACAGACGUUAUAUGACCACUUGCCAAAUAAAUGUGGACGUGAAACAUUAAUGUGAGUUAAAAUGAUUUUAUUAUCUAAUUUGUAGAUUGGAUUAAAGUUUGAAAAGCUUUCAGGUUGUGAACUCUUUUUAUUUAUUUGCAGUGAAUGUG